GCAUCUAGAUUAGACUUUGAUCCUGGCUCAGGACGAACGCUGGCGGCGUGCCUAAUACAUGCAAGUCGAGCGGAUGAAGGAGAGCUUGCUCUCCGGAUUCAGCGGCGGACGGGUGAGUAACACGUGGGCAACCUGCCUGUAAGAUCGGGAUAACUCCGGGAAACCGGGGCUAAUACCGGAUGGUUCCUUCCUCCGCAUGGAGGAAGGCGGAAAGACGGUUUCGGCUGUCACUUACAGAUGGGCCCGCGGCGCAUUAGCUAGUUGGUGGGGUAAUGGCCUACCAAGGCAACGAUGCGUAGCCGACCUGAGAGGGUGAUCGGCCACACUGGGACUGAGACACGGCCCAGACUCCUACGGGAGGCAGCAGUAGGGAAUCUUCCGCAAUGGACGAAAGUCUGACGGAGCAACGCCGCGUGAGCGAAGAAGGCCUUCGGGUCGUAAAGCUCUGUUGUAAGGGAAGAACAAGCAUCGGUUAACUGCCGGUGCCCUGACGGUACCUUACCAGAAAGCCACGGCUAACUACGUGCCAGCAGCCGCGGUAAUACGUAGGUGGCAAGCGUUGUCCGGAAUUAUUGGGCGUAAAGCGCGCGCAGGCGGUCCUUUAAGUCUGAUGUGAAAGCCCACGGCUCAACCGUGGAGGGUCAUUGGAAACUGGGGGACUUGAGUGCAGAAGAGGAAAGCGGAAUUCCACGUGUAGCGGUGAAAUGCGUAGAGAUGUGGAGGAACACCAGUGGCGAAGGCGGCUUUCUGGUCUGUAACUGACGCUGAGGCGCGNNGCGUGGGGGAGCAAACAGGAUUAGAUACCCUGGUAGUCCACGCNUAAACNAUGAGUGCUAAGUGUUANGGGGGUUCCCGCCNC
rnacentral:rRNA from 1 species